AUCCCGAAAUUUAGUGAGCUGAUUAUUAUUUGUUAAGAACCCAGUAAUUAUUGUUGCAUUAAUAUUACAAAAAUAACAAUCAGAGGCUACAUACCUUCCGCACUAAAUGAUAUCUGGUUUUUCAUUAUCCCAGCUUUAGCUGAAAAAGUUAGCACUAAUUCCAAUUACUAACUCCCCAAGAUAUAUGAGGACAAGCUCAUCUAUCUUUCCUUAUUAUAUUAAUUUCUCCCCAUCUCUGUAGGCCUAAAACCAGCCACCCUAAAUCUCGUUAUAGAACCUAUAAAUCACUAUCCCACAUAAAUACCUCUCUAAUGAAAUACAUUCUAAAAUUAAAAAGACUUAUAACUAUGCAAAGAUCAGUAUUUUACUAAAACCUUACAACCUUAUCCUACCACACAUAUAAUGAAGGAACUCGGCAAAUACAUAUUCCGCCUGUUUAACAAAAACAUCGCCUAUAGCAACUUAACCUAUUAUAGGUACAUCCUGCCCAGUGAAAUUUUUAAACGGCCGCGGUAUCCUGACCGUGCAAAGGUAGCAUAAUCAUUUGCCCCCUAAUUAGGGGCUAGUAUGAAUGGACAAACGAGAUUAUACCUGUCUCCCCUAUACUCAUAAAAAUUUAUCUGCAGGUGAAGAAGCCUGCAUAAAAAUAAAAGACAAGAAGACCCUGUCAAGCUUUAAUUAUCACUAAGCAUCCCAUAAACAAUCCCACAUACACCUCCUUAAAACUAAUUUUUGUUGGGGCGACAAUGGAACAAACAAAACUUCCAACAUACUUUAGACAUCAAGUCUCACCAAAGAUCCUCAAACGAUAUUAGGAACUAGCUACUGCAGGGAUAACAGACUAAUCCCUCUUAAGAGCCCAAAUCUACAGAGGGGCUUGGCACCUCGAUGUUGGCUUAGGAUUUCACUUAGAUGCAGAAGUCUAAGAUGUAGGUUUGUUCAACCUUUAAUAUCCU
rnacentral:rRNA from 1 species